UACAGAGCAGUUUCUGUGAACCAGGGUCUGAUUUACAACACUGAACACAAGUGAAAGGAAGCGCGUGCCUUGCGGAGCUAGCCCAAUUCUUUGUACAGGCUAAUUUAUCCCUUUUAUCUCAUUUCACCUUCACCUCCUCACGUCACCUCCAGACAACCACGUGAGCUGGACGUCCUCAUCCCUGCUUUACAGAUGAGGAAACAGGCACGCAGAAGCUGCACUCAGGCCCACUCGCUCUCCCAGCUCCCACUGCUCCAGCUCUCAGCUCCCAGGAUGCCUGAGCUCUCGGACCUGUUGUCCAGCCUUCGGCCGAUUGAUGGAAUCCUGCAGCAUUUGUCAGGUGGAGUUUUCCAGCCGCUUCGACAGAUUGAAUGCAGAAGCAGAAAUGAGAACCCAACUGCCUUCUCUUAAGUGAACCUUUGAAGAGAAGCGCGAAAACAUAAAGUGGUACCACUCUUAAGUUUUUGCAUUUUAGAAAAUAGUUAUUUG